GAUGAACGCUGGCGGCGUGCUUAACACAUGCAAGUCGAACGGUGAACACGGGGCUUGCUCUGUGGGAUCAGUGGCGAACGGGUGAGUAACACGUGAGCAACCUGCCCCUGACUCUGGGAUAAGCGCUGGAAACGGCGUCUAAUACUGGAUACGAACCACGAAGGCAUCUUCAGUGGUUGGAAAGAAUUUCGGUUGGGGAUGGGCUCGCGGCCUAUCAGCUUGUUGGUGAGGUAAUGGCUCACCAAGGCGUCGACGGGUAGCCGGCCUGAGAGGGUGACCGGCCACACUGGGACUGAGACACGGCCCAGACUCCUACGGGAGGCAGCAGUGGGGAAUAUUGCACAAUGGGCGCAAGCCUGAUGCAGCAACGCCGCGUGAGGGAUGACGGCCUUCGGGUUGUAAACCUCUUUUAGCAGGGAAGAAGCGAAAGUGACGGUACCUGCAGAAAAAGCGCCGGCUAACUACGUGCCAGCAGCCGCCGUAACAC
rnacentral:rRNA from 1 species